rnacentral:lncRNA from 1 species
GAAACAAGUCAGAGCCGUUAACAGCAGCAGCGCAGCGGCAGGAGGGCGGGUGGCGGCGCUGGGGCCGGGGCCGGCGGGGAGCGGGGAGGCGCCCCCCCGGGAUGCGGCCAACAGAAGCGCGGUGAAUCGCGAUCCUCCCCCAGGUCAAGGCGGUGACAUUCCAGAUUGCUGCUGGACCGAAACCUUACCUUAUCCCCAAGAUGUGACCGCGUUAUUGAAGAGAAAAACUUCUUCAGCCAAGACCGGCUCCCUGCAAGCUACACACCCGGCCCGGGCAGCCCGCCGCAGGUGCUGUGUAGGGGGGAUGAGGGCGCACCCCUUUUCACCAACCUGCUAUCCAGGACUUUGGCUGAGCUGUUUCAGAACGUAGCGCCUGCCCCCCACCAUACCCUGCAGCGGCCAGUUCCAAAGUUCACUUUCUGCUACUUCAAAAUAAAGGAAGACAUGAACGGAAACUCGUUUUUUCUUUUAAGCCGGUCUCCUGCCAGUUUCACCGGGUGCUCCUCCUCCCCAUCCAUGAGCUUCAGUGACCCAGGGUCUGCACUCACCUCGUUCAGCACCCCUGGAGAUGCUCUGACCGUGUUGCGUUGCCUUCCCUUCCCUUCCCACCCAGCUCUCCUCAGCGUUUCCUCCACAUCCUCCAUCACUUUUACAGCUUCUUGCAUGUUCUCUCAUACACUUUCUGAGAUGCCAGGACUAAUCCAGAACUGACAGAAAGCUAAGGCUUGUCAGUUUAAGACCUUUUUGCUCUAGCACGCUUUUUGAUGCGGACACCAUUCCUCCUCUCACCCACACCAGGCACACCCACAGCCACAGGGUGCACCUAAUUUCCGAGCAUCACAAGUCCAGCAGCUGAACUUCUCUACUGACUACGCUGAAGCGAUGGAAUAAUGCCCAAGACAAGGAAGCGCAGCGGCACUGCUGCCUACCAAAGCACAGCAUUACCUCCAACUGCCCAGCUGCACGCAGCUAUUUCCCCUAACGCAGCCGUUUUCCUGAGACCACCCGAAAGCCCCCAGCACUGGGCUUGGCCAUGCGCAGCCACCCCCAUGCGAUGCAGGCGCUGCCUGGCAGCGGGCUGCCUUGGCCGGCUGUGACACAAAGACAGCAGAGGCAGGCUGUGCAGCAGCAGGACGCCGACUGAACACGGCUGUACGUAAAGCCUGACAGCAAGACGAUCACUGGUGGAGUCAUUCUUCAAGGUCUCUGAAAUCAAAUGUGUAACAGCAUCAGGAUGAACACUGCGUGCUGAGCAGCUGUUACUCCUUUCUCUCUCCAGGCAGCAGCCUCAGACGUCCUCUCAAGAAGAGAAAGCAACAAUCCAAAGACCAUCUUCCGAGCUCAGUUCUGCCGCUUUAUAGUAUUCUCAGUACAGCAAGCAGUGGUAUUCAAAGCUAAAUACAACUUAACACCAGGAGAAAAACUAGAUACAAAACAACAAAAACCCCUAACAGGAGCAAAAGCAAGCAAAGGAUUAGGAACAGGAUCAGCUUAACCUUGUCUCACCACCCCCCAUUUCCAGCAACGUUUUUUUUCUUUUCACCCGCACAUAGGUGGAUCUACUUGCCCUUUCAAGGCAGAGCUUGCACAAUGGCAACUCCACGCAACAGGAUUACAGAAUUACACAAGGAGAGAUGUAUAGAAACCAGGUCCAUGGGAGUGCAGAAACGAUCAGGACUUUUCUCAGUCCAACGGGCUUGCUUUUCUACUUCUACCAUCAUCAGGACACCAACAACUCCAAUGUUUCAAAUGCCUCCUUACUACCUACAAUCCUUAAGAAUGGGAAACACUGUACCUGUAUAUAGAGUUUGUUCCCCACACAAAAGUUUGAAUCAAUUACUCACCUGAAGGGAGGCUUCCUAUACACGUAAUUCCUAAAAUCUCUUUUUACCAGCCAAUCGUAUCAGACAGGAGCUCCAGACACUCGUAUCCUUGCUGUGCAGCCAGAGAGCUUUUGCUCACACUUGAGGGAAAAUAAACUUAGCUACUGAAAUAGUUUGUUUUCCA